rnacentral:rRNA from 1 species
UGAGGAAUAUUGGGUCAAUGGACGAGAGUCUGAACCAGCCAAGUAGCGUGCAGGAUGACGGCCCUAUGGGUUGUAAACUGCUUUUAUAAGGGAAUAAAGUUAGUCUCGUGAGACUUUUUGCAUGUACCUUAUGAAUAAGGACCGGCUAAUUCCGUGCCAGCAGCCGCGGUAAUACGGAAGGUCCGGGCGUUAUCCGGAUUUAUUGGGUUUAAAGGGAGCGUAGGCCGGAGAUUAAGCGUGUUGUGAAAUGUAGACGCUCAACGUCUGCACUGCAGCGCGAACUGGUUUCCUUGAGUACGCACAAAGUGGGCGGAAUUCGUGGUGUAGCGGUGAAAUGCUUAGAUAUCACGAAGAACUCCGAUUGCGAAGGCAGCUCACUGGAGCGCAACUGACGCUGAAGCUCGAAAGUGCGGGUAUCGAACAGGAUUAGAUACCCUGGUAGU